AACAAGGAAGCCAAUUCUAGAAUGCGGUUCUGGAGUAGAGGGUUCUCCACAGUGUCUUCUUUCUGCAGCUGUGGACAUCUCAAAGCGGUUAAAUAGAUCAACCAAGAUCCCUGAAUCACUAACCUGUGAUGCUUGCUGGAAGCAAAACCACCAAUUACAGUUUUACAAACAGCAUCAAAACAAGCUUGUGGCACUGGAAAUACAGGAAGAGAGGAUGGAGAAUGGAGAAAACUCAAUAACGGAACAUAAAGCGACCAAAAGAUAUUGAUGGGGAUGGAUGGGGGAAAAGCGACAGAGAAAAAAGAGAAAACAAAUUCAAUUGUCUAUUUUUUAAUAUUUCAUUAACAUUACUAAAGAAAGACUUUUGUACUGCCACAAUGCUGCUGACCUAGCCUUUUAUUUUAAAGUUAUUGGUUUGUUCUCUUUUCAGUCUGUCACUAUAUAUAUCAUGUGGAUAUUAUUACUGACUGCAAAGAUGGGAAAUUAAUGGACCGUGGAAUGAAAUUAAAUCCUGUCUGAUGAUAGCCCAUCAGCAAAAUGACCUUGUAUUUCACAUCUGGCAAGGGCAUCUUUGUGAUGAAUAUACUGUAUUACAGGCCUCUUCCACCCAUUGUGUUGCAUUUGUGUUUGGUCUUGUGUCUUUGCAUCAGAGAAGUAGGACAAAGCUCAUAUUUCUAAAAUAAAUUGCA